rnacentral:sRNA from 1 species
CCAAGCUGUGAAUAAGUUUUUGGUUCUUAAUUCUUCCAUUCAUAGAAAAUUAUAUAAAUCUAAAUGAAAAGUGGAAGCUUCCUUGCUCAUUGGUUGACCAAGGGUUCAUUAUUAAUACUUCUACACCAAGAGGUCUGGGGUUCGAGUUUUAGAUACUGCGAUUUAUUAACAAAUUUACAGAUUAAUGGAGGCAAGUGUGCAUGAGAUCUCUAACAAUGUACGAUUAUAGCCGUUUGAAAGGAUUAUACGCACAGAAGAUCAGUGAAGCUCUCCAUCAAAAGCAUGGAGAAGGAAAAUGAGGCGUCGUCUGUCGUGGAUCUAAUAAGGGUCAAAAGGAAUUUUCCAUGGUAUAAUCGUUUAUGUAACAGUUCUUAUAAUUUGUAACAAAUAAUAAAUCUAAUACAGAAAAAAAA